UACAGAGGAGCCAAGCGUUGUCCGGAUUGACUGGGCGUAAAGCGCACGCAGGCGGAUGCGCGCGUGGGGUGUGAAAUCUGGCCGCUUAACGGCCAGGCGCCAUCCCAUACGGCGCGUCUGGAGCCUUGCAGAGGUCGGUGGAAUUGCCGGUGUAGUGGUGAAAUUCGUAGAUAUCGGGAGGAACACCGGUGGCGAAGGCGGCGACCUGGGUCGAGACUGACGCUGAGGCGCGAAAGCGUGGGGAGCAAACAGG
rnacentral:rRNA from 1 species